GCUUUAGAUGGGAAUGUACUCUAAGAAUAGCUUUUGUCUAAUUAUUCAGCUUGGGAAUGAUUUUUUAAAAACUAAUAUACCACUUCAAAGAUAGAUUACAUUCUACAGAAUAAACAGGAGAGCCCCUAGAAACGUUUUUUUAAUAGGCUUAUGCAUAAACAAAAUAUUUUUCAUGUUUAUUCUCUAACAGAAUCAAAUACUAUUGUAUUCAAAUAGUCAGAGUCUUAGGAAAAUAAGACUGUGUGUCACCCCUAUGAAAAGCUGUAAUGCAUUUUGGAAAUUUUUUUCCAAGAGACCCUGAAGUGGUAGAUGCACUUGGAUGGGAAAUCUAAUUGGCCGACAAUUACACAGAGUUAAGCAAACCACACAUUCAAACCCUGUUUAAACACUUUUCUUGAAUACAUUCCUCUCCUCCAACUAUCUUUCUUGUCAGUAAAUAUUGAGCAAUGUCUCUCAAAGAAAAGGAGGUAUUAAUAUUUGAAUAUUAAUAGACCAACAUAGCUACACUCAUGCUUAUUUCAUUUUGACUUUCCAUUUCAUGGCUGAGUUUUCAUGAAUUGAUUCCCUCUUAACACUCGCGUGUCCCAUUCCAUCUGUCUCCUGAGGAGAGGGGAACUGCAAUGGGCCGCCAGAUCGGAAUUCCUGCCUUAAAUGUCAGCAGAGUACAACUCACCAGCCAAAGCAGGGUCGGCCUGGACCUGAAUCAAGGAAACAGCACCGGCUAUCAUGAACGGGAAAACUUGGACUGAAGGGGUGAUGGGGGAAGGGCAGCGAUAGAGCGGAAGGGUCCACACCGGUGCAAAGACCCAGGGUUUGUCAGUUUCACCUCACCGAGAAAGGGAGGCAAGUCAAACUUUCUUUGAUUCUUUUAUGUUUUUUGAUUGCUAUCUUUAUUUUUCUCUUUGGGUGGUGAGCCAUAUUUCCAGCAACCACUCUGCCUUACUGUAACAAUAAUAAGGUAACACCUCUUUGAAAAGCGAACAAAGCUCCACUGAAGUCCUGUGUUGUGGUGCCUGUGCCUGUGGUUGCCCUGCUGCUGCUGUUGUUUUGUUUGUUUUUAAUGAACUUGCUGAUACAUAAGUACUCUGCAGGGAUUCCUAUCGCUGAGAUUCAUGAAAAGGAAGAUGAGAUUUGUGAGUUGCUACUGAGUCUUGUCCCUGCCAGCCUGGAGACACUUCCUAUCUGAUCCUGAGGCCUUGCUGGCGUUUUUAGUAUGUUUGUGUUAGUCUUCUAUCUCUGAACACAUGAAGAAAUACUAAAAGUUCUGAGGGCCAGGGUGGGGAAAGGGGUCUACAAAUCCCACAGAUAUACAUCAGCACCCAAGGAUAACAACAUGAUGUAAGAGAUUAAAAAUUAGGAACAAAGUGCAUUCAUCCACUAGUUUUUGUCAAGUACUUGUACUUUACAUUUAUCAUGCCUUCAUUUUUUUCAUAUGUUACUGACCCACAACUUCACAAAGCUAUUUAACUAAAAACUCACAAGUUUGCUUGACAUACAAGACUGAUUUUAAAUCAAUGUCCCAGGUUACCAUCCUUUUCCUAAAGGUAAGAAAGUCAAGAAAACUUCAUCAAUAAAUUGUUAUUCCAUCUUUAAAUGAAUUUAGGCCUUUUUAAGGUUACCAGUGGGGGAAAAAAAUUUAGAUUUCAAAUCUUUGAUUCUAGUCCUAAGCCAGUUCAAAACAGGUCAACUUAGAGGCUAUUACUUAUAUUCACCAGGGCUCCCACCUCAUACUUUUUGCACGAUCAUAAGUCCAAUACAGCUGAUUUCUUUCAUUAUUGUAUCCUGCAUGCAUUGCCAUAAACAGUCCUAUUGGAAGUUUCUAUCCCUAGUUUAAAGAAAAGCCAGGGAAGUAGGUAGACUGAAUGUAGCAUAGGAAGGUCAAUAUUACCAUCUCAAAUAUAGAAAGGAUAAUAAAGAAUAUCUGAAAAGAAAAACUACCUCCAGGAAGUGAAGGGUUAAUCCCUGGUCAAUUCUGAACCUCUCUGCUGAGAGUACUAAUAAGUGUGAGUUGAUGCCAAUUAGGGUGGCCCUUCCCUUGAUGGGAACAGCCAUCGCUUAGGAACUGGACUGUCAACACAUUCUACCAGGGCAGUGAUCAGCCAGCCAGAAGAAAGGGAAAGGGUCUGAGAAACUGUGGUAACCAAGUUCUGUUGGCACUUUGUAAAAUGGUGCCGGGAACUGCCACCACCAUGGAGUGAAUGCUAAUGAGCCGAGUGCAACUUACAAAGGGUGGACCUGAAAAAUGUCCUCCUGCUGACCAGCAGCCCUACACAAUGCCACAUUUGGUAGGUUUCUGUGGCUAGCACCACAGGCCUCAUUCUCAAGGAAGAACUUAAACCUCACAGCACUGUUCCUUGGACUCAAAGACCUCACAAGCACUUCUGACCCAUUGUCCAAAUCAAAGUUUUCAAAUUAAAAAAAAAAGAACAUUUUGCACCUUUAAAAAAUCUCAUUCAAAAAUCUGAAUAGUAAACAGCUGUAACAAUCAACAGGAAAUAAUUUUUGUUGUUGUUGUUCUUUUUUUAAUUGGAGGAUAAUUGUUUUACAAUACUGUGUCAUAUGACCCAGCAAUCCCACUACUGGGCAUAUACCCUAAGAAAACCAUAACUGAAAGAG
rnacentral:lncRNA from 1 species